rnacentral:rRNA from 1 species
UACGUAGGGGGCAAGCGUUGUCCGGAAUCAUUGGGCGUAAAGAGCGUGUAGGCGGACAGGUAAGUCAGUGGUGAAAUCUCUGGGCUUAACCCAGAAACUGCCGUUGAUACUAUUUGUCUUGAAUAUCCUGGAGGUAGGCGGAAUAUGUCAUGUAGCGGUGAAAUGCUUAGAUAUGACAUAGAACACCGAUAGCGAAGGCAGCUUACUACAGGAUGAUUGACGCUGAGGCACGAAAGCGUGGGGAGCAAACAGG